GAAAACUGAAAGUGAGAUGUGGAGAGGCGAUACCGGAGGCUGUUCUCUCCUAGGCUCAGUUCCUUAGAGAGAGAUAAUGUAAGCAUCGGGGUCUUGCUCUGUCACCCAGGCUGGAGUACAGUGGCGUGAUCAAAGCUCACUGCAACCUUGAACUCCUGGACUCAAGUAAUCCUCCUGCCUCAGCCUCCCAAGUGGCUGGGACGACAGUCAUGCAUCACCAUGCCCAGCUAAUUUUUGAAUUUUUAUUUUUGUAGAGAUGGGGCCUCGCUAUGCUGCCAGGACUGGUCUUGAACUCCUGGUCUCAAGCAGUCCUUCUGCUUUGGCCUCCCAAAGUGUUGGGGUUACAGCCGUGAGCCACUGCACCCAACCUACUUUAUAUUUUUCAUGAUACUUUUAGGAUCUAGAAAUCCUCUGCACUCUUUGAUGCAGUUACUACAUCCAGAUGAUGUAGAUGAGGAAACUAAAAUUCAAAUAAAUUCAAUGACAUUCUCAGGAGAACUAAGAUCCAAAGCCAGAUAAAAUGACUUC
ensembl:lncRNA novel transcript, antisense to SMG6